AUCCUUUUCAGUAAGUAUGACAAUUGGGAGUUCAUGCUGUUGUAUGACAUGUGCCUCCCUCUAACCCUUGUUGUGACAUCAGCACAUUACCAGUCUGAUG